rnacentral:rRNA from 1 species
UACGUAGGGUGCGAGCGUUAAUCGGAAUUACUGGGCGUAAAGCGUGCGCAGGCGGCUUUGCAAGACAGAUGUGAAAUCCCCGGGCUCAACCUGGGAACUGCAUUUGUGACUGCAAGGCUAGAGUACGGUAGAGGGGGAUGGAAUUCCGCGUGUAGCAGUGAAAUGCGUAGAUAUGCGGAGGAACACCGAUGGCGAAGGCAAUCCCCUGGGCCUGCACUGACGCUCAUGCACGAAAGCGUGGGGAGCAAACAGG